rnacentral:lncRNA from 1 species
UAUAGCCAGAGGAGAUUUUGCAUUAUAUCUGCUUGAUUUAAAGCAAACUUACCAUUAUGGUUUGUAUAAACCUAAAAUAUACUCAAUCGCAUGCAUAUGGAUGUAGCUCUUGGAAACAUAGGUACUACAUUGGAUAACCAAGAAGUAUUUUCAAUGAGAUUAUAUAUUUAUUUGCAUAUACUGGAAAAAGAAAAACCUAUGGUCAUUCUAUGAAAACAUACUGUGAAUUUUAAAUGCUCCUACCCACUUUUUGUUUUGAUUCUCUGUGUAGACUUGCAGUGAGCCUCCAGACCUUUGCUGAAGAGCAAAUUUGCAAACUUAUUUAUAUGUGUUAGCAACAUCACCAUCAUAAAUUGCUGAAGCCAUCGAAAAACAAUAAACGGAACCUGCUUCAAGAGGAACUAGUGCCUCUCAUUGGUAUUACCUCUUUCAAGAUGACAGGAGACCUCAAGAGGCCCAAGAGUUCUUCGUUGUAUCCUUCAAUGGACUUUGGUAAACCACUUGUUGAACCUUAUUCACUUACAGCCUCCAUGAAAUUCAAAGGUAGAUUAGAGCAAUUCCAAUUUCUGAGAAAACAAGGUUUGAUAUUAUGGUUUUGUGAAAUCUUAUGGAGAUGAACCAAAUCCAGAGAUGUCAGUCCACAUCUGACUUCCCCAAAGUUCAAAGAGACACUCAGAUCCACUGCCUAGAACCCAUCGGCUCAAAAUCCAGGCUGGUCUUUUAUUCAUCUCACACCCCAUAAAUGUAAGCCACAGCGGCAAUUUCAAUGUACUCAAGUUAUGUAUAAUUGGUUCCUAAAGCUGCCUGCCACUGAAAACAAGCAUAUUAAAUUCAGACUUACAAAAUUCCUUAUGUCCGAUACCCAUUUACAUGUGUUGUUUUUGUGUGUUUUUCAAUUUUUUUUUCUCCCUUAGAAACAGCGCUGAGGUUGGUUCCCAUUCCAGCAUGACUAAUAAAGAAAAAACAUUUUAAAAGUCCAGAUCAUUAAGCUGUCAGGAAAUCUAUAAGAGGCAUCUCUUCUUGUAGACCAGAUUUAAGAAGAAUUAAAACUGAAACCUUCAUAAUGACUUUUUAAGUCUUUGAGUAUUUAGGAAAAAAAAAAAAGAGAAGUAAAAAAAGUGUGCAGGGAAGAAGUCUUCUUAGGCACUGGCAUGAAAAUCAAUAUUUUUGGUGUCACUAUGUACAGUACUGUAGCUAUCAAAAAAGUAAUAGUAGAGGAUAUUAAAACUACGAGGAAACCUUAUCAUCACAAAUGCUGUACAUGUUUUGUAAAAGAUGUAUUAAUCUCAUCUCACAGGAGCUGUCAGUGUUACAACUAACCCUGGAGCUGUAAAACGAGCUGUAAAAUGGAUUUUAUUCCAGAAUAUUACAAGUUCUGUCAUUAUAGAGAAGAUUAACGACACAGCCUGAUGGAGGUCUACUGCUCUUAGAGAUGCUAGAAUGUCUAAGACAAGAAACGGCUUUGUAAUUAUAACUGUCUUAGUGGAAAUAAAAGGGCAAAAAGGGAGCAUGUUGAAAUAAUUAUGAGCAAUAGAGAAAUGAGUGCUUUAAGCAAGGUAGUAGCUAGAUAAUUUAAUGGGGACAGGUUACAGAAAGGGUUACAUCCAAAGUAACUUAGCAGCUUUAAUGCUGAGAUAAAGUUAUAAUGUACUGCUAUCCAGCUGUGUGAUAAGCUAGAACAUUGCAUCGUCUGCGAGAUUUCUCUCAGAGCUCUUAGCAUUUUUGUACAGGAUCGUGUAUAUGUUCUGUUGUCAUCUGUGCUUUUGGGAUGUAAAUUUUAAUGUACUGAUGUGAAGACAAUGCCUAGAUUUGGGAAGAAAUAUUAUUUUCUGCCCAUUUUCUUUGCAGGCUGAAGCCUAGCGUGUGAUUUGCAUAUACAGCACUUCCUGCUUAUUUGAAUUGUUUUUUCUCAGAUGUCAAUUUCUUCAAUUUUCAACCAAGUGGCAAAGUGAGUACCUAGCUAUUCUUUCACUUACAAUUGCGUAAGUCAGGAAUGCAGGUCUGGAAAUCAGUUUGAGCAGUCAGCAAAUGAGAUUGGACACCAUAUUGCCAGCCUUAGACCCUCACCCCCAAAAUGGAUGAGAAUUUUUCCUUUGCAGCAAUGCUGCAAAUCAGUAGAAAGUGUAGAAAAUACUUUUUUUUUUCUAUUCUUUGUUGUUUGAAAUUGCAAGACAAACUUCACAGUCUUGAGCUGUCAGUGCAUUUCUUCUCUUUGUUUUUUCAGCCUUGUCUCUUCAGCUCCUGUUAGGGUGGUACAUUGGAAGAGAGAGCAGAGAAUGAAGCAGCGUAGAACUCUGCUAUUAAUAAACCAGUGCUACAACUUAAUGAAGUUUGUGUGUAUUUUAACAGAGUUUCAGUUUUUCAUUUGCUUUAUACCAAAAAGACAGGCAGAAGUAGGAUUAAGCACAGAAUGCUGUAUUAUCUCUGUUUAACCAUACAACUGACAUUCAUGUGUUAGUCUUCUUCCUCCAAUUACAGUUCUUCUCCUGUCUUCAGAAAAAAAAAAAAAGAAAAAAAAAGUCUUGAUAAAAUGAAACUGAUCUUGAAAUCAGUUGAAUGAAUGAAUGAAAUGAAUGAAGCAGCAUUUUCUGAAGAAGUAGAGGGUUCUUUUGCUGGCUUUUUCCUUGUGCUGUACUCACUUGGGAUUAUGUCAGUAAAAUUGGUGGGCUAAUGUGGUUCAUUGUCUUCAUAUCCAUGGAUGCUUACACAGAAGUUAUGAGUAAGGAAACUACAAGUGUGUGUUAGGACUGAAAAAGAUAUAAGCCCUAAAUCUGACAGAGUCAGGUUCAAUGAUGCAGCGUGGUUUUGGUUUUGAAGGUGAAUGUCACAGUGUAAACACACUCCCACUUCAAGAUAAACAAAUUGUAAUGGAGAAUGCUGAAGAGGAGUUUCUCACCAGGGGACAGGUUGGUGUGUUUUCUGUUACAAAGUAUGUCUUUUAGAAUUCUGUUUUCUUUUUUUCUGUGACUAUGCACAAUAAACUGAUUUUUCUUUUAGUCUUUAGAAAUCUAGAGAAGCCGUUGGUUGUUACGCAAAAGAAAAAUAUCAGUACAACAGUUGUCAGGUGUUUUACAAAAAUGCAAACUAACAUCAGAACAAGCGAAAAAAGAAACCCACAAAAAUCUUACUGCCAUACAGCCUAGUAUCUUUCUGUAAUAGAGCCUUAAUCCAGAUGGUAGAGCUGCCUGUGGAAGAAGUGUGCCCAACAUCUAUGUGCUUGAGUGCACACUGGACAUGUUUGGGAAGAGAUGAAAGGUAGACUGCUUCCUGCUUGUCUGCCUUCCCAGUUCUACGUAAGCAAUACAUGAGGACAAGAGAGAGACAAUAUUGGGGUGAAGCUGCAUCACAAAAAAAGUGAAUACUGGGAAUAGUUAACGUUGUUUUUGCUGUCCCUUUUUCCCACACUCCAUUCAGGCUGGUAUCUCGUAACAGGGCUAUGAUCUCUAAAGGCUUGCAGUCACUGCAUCUGAGUCCAGCUUUCCAAUCUGUACUGGUGUUAACAGGGAUCACACAGCUUAAGAGCCAAGGCAGUAUUCUAGAAGUGAAGGAGUGUCGUAUUGCUGAGUGCAUCACUUGCCAGUUCUGAGCAGUAAGUUAUUAUACAUUUAAUUAGUAGCUGUGACACUGUUGCUGCUGGAACUGGAAUUAGGAUGACAAAUUCAGUCAUAUUUGUUGAUCUACCAGACCCAUGGGCAGAAGGAAAGAAAAUGCAACAUCUAAAUAUCAAAAAGAAAACAAGGGAAUUAAUGAGAUACCUGGGAAUUAUUCCCACACAAUUUCUAAUAAAACACCAAAUUGUUUUCUGUAGUGAAAUAAAUCCUUCUCUAACCUCAAAUUCAUAGUUCCUUAUGUUAAUGCAAAUAAUUGUCAUUAAUAUGGCUAAGAAGACAGUAGGUUGCCUUUUGCGUUUUUUUGUUUGUUUUUGUUUUUCUUGGGGGAAGGAAUAUUUCUAUUUGGGACAAGAAAUGAAUAGUGUGUCUGUCAUGACAUGAAUGAAAGACAGGAGAAUAAAGUUCCCUGAAAUUGUAGAACUGUAGGUCUUAAUCAGACUGCUGAAUACUCCCAAAUCCAUUCCUCUUGUGAGAUGUUCCAACAAAUAUUAGUAUGCACCUAGGGUUUUUCAGAUACAGCGAAAACACCAAUGCUGCCCUGCUGCGGUAAUUUACAGAGAGUAUAUUGUGUAAUGGACUUUGAUUAAGUACACACCUAAUUCCCUCCCUGUGAUGGACUGUGAUCUGAUCUACAUUCAUAAUCCUUUUGUAAUGCAGUGUGCGGUUGCUGAAGGUUAAUUGAUAGCAAUUGACUAAUAACGUAUUUCACUAUUGGAAACAGGUGGCACUCAUUUGUAACAAAUAUGGUACAGAAGAAUCUGAAAACAGGUUUCUUACUGCAGAUAUGUAAAUUAAAGUGUAAGUUCAGAUGCAACUUGUUAUCAUGAGGAGAGACAAAGCACCUUCAGAAAUCAAGGUCUUAUCCUGCAGACAUUUUUGAAGCACUGGUUAUGUAAAGGACAAUGUUGUCUGAGAAAAAAAAUUCCCACUAGGGACCACUGAAAUUGAUAAAAGUUAUGGGGACUACCUUAAAAAUUGGUAUUAAAGAGCUGAAAUGGAACUGGGUUAUGUAUGAAUCACAUUGAUUAACUGUUCUGUUUCUUUCUGUCCCAGCUACCCUGUCAGUGUGCUGCCAGUGCAAACUGUAGGAUUAUCAGUGUCUCCAUGAUGAGCAAGCCAAGUCUGACACUUGGUUUGCUGUAACCAAGCGAGCGAUGUUUAAAACAACCGUAGCUAAAAUACAAUGAACACAUAAUUGUAUCUGAUCACCCUCAGCAUUAGUGUCUUAGCCCUCUGCUUAAUGUUUUAAGCUGCAAUGUUUGUUUUAGAAUCAGGUGAGCAAUUAGUCUGAGCACGUAAUUAAGGUAGCAAAGUGAUUUGCAUGUGCUAGCCAAAUUACUUGAAACCCUUAGUGCUUUUAUUCAUUGGAUCAAUGUUUGGUGUUGGAUAAUUAUAUGGAUAUACUUCUCUUUUUGAUAGCAUGUCCUCAAGCUCCUUAUAUUCUUGUUUUCAUGGUGCUUAGUAUCUUUGACUCUACUUAACAUAGCUUUAUGCUACUGUUUAGAGGUGACUUUAAAUUAGUCAAUAGUCCCUUGAAUAUUAGAAAUAUUUGGCAUAAACUUCAGUAUUCCAUAUACAUUUAAGACUGAUUAAUUCAUAAUUUGUGACUGUAAGCAGCUUUGAUUUUUAAAACCAAGUAAUAGUAAUCUGAAUAAUUUCAUAUUUUAUUUCUAAUUAUAGCUGAGUCAAAAGAACAUAUCUCUGUACAAGACGAGAUACAUAUUAAGGGAUGGAGACCAAUCAAGCACUUUUUUUACAUUUGUGAACUUUUUGUUACUCUUUCAGAGGACCUCAUGGGCUACUUCCUGAAAAUAGGAAAAAAUUCUUCUUCCUGAAAAUUCUCUGUAAAAAAUUUUUAAAGUUUCAUCUCUCCGUGUAAGACACAAAAUCUAAUUUUCAUGGGAGAAUAGUCAGCCACAUUUCAGCUGUGGUACAAAGAUGGCUAUUUGUGUUGGGGGCAGUUUGGGCUUACAUGUUGGGAAGGAAGAAGAUAAAAUCACUGAGGAUCAGUAUCUACUCAUAGGCAAUGCAGUGCAGACUGGCAGGAACUCUUCAUAGUGUGCUUUGGUGUAAUGGUUGUUUAAUACAGAAGAUUGUGGUACUGCUGCCUCUCCUCUCAUCCCAUUGCUGGCCCAGGAUUUCUAAAGGCUGCAGUACCUUUCCUGGCAUCAGAACUGAUGCCUUAGCUGAAAAUAGAGGUAUGGGAAAAGAUUCUUGUAUUAAAUCCCCAACACAAAAGCAAUUGCAUCACAGAUAGAGAUCUCUCAAAUAUAUUAUUCAUGGACUAAUUAAGCUGUGACCUGGAAUUAGCAUGUGGAGGACUGAAAUACAUCACGUGCUGUAUACUAUCCAUGAGUGGUAUACAAGGGUUUACUAACAGAGCACCAUGUUAAUCUUAUUAAUUCAUACCUUGCUUAACUACGGGAAGGGACUUCAAUCCAGAACCUGAUACAGCUCCAGCAAAAUGCACAUCUAUAUCUUGUAAGUAUCUUAUGAUCUCUGUGAUGUUAAGAUUUAUACAGUUCAUAUUUACUUUUCUUUUAACAACAUUGGCAUCUGAAUAAUAGAUAUUUGAACUUUAUGACUAGGACAUCUAGAAUACUUCAUGUCUUGGAGAACCAGGUAAUACCUAAGAUUUAGAGUUCUCAGCAGGAAAAUGUGCAACCUUGGUGUACAACAGGCAACUUUACUGUAAUGCUGUUACUGUUGUGUCAAAGGCUUUUUGAUUAGAAUACUAUUGGGAGUGAUGGUCAUUGCAGAUCCAUUGCACUAGCGUAGACGCCACUGCAUCCACGUAGUUGCUGCAAGCACAGAAUUUUGUUCUGUCUGCACACACAGCUUUAGUCACAAGAGCAUAUCGUUUUCCUCCCCACAGACUGGGGAGAUAACAGCAUGAUGGGAGCCAGAGCAUGGGAAGAGAGAGAUGACCGUGUUUGUCUGCUCCCUGCAGAUAUCUCAGAAACACUCCUCAGAUGGAGCUACACCAGUGUCAUGGAUGUGGAUGAAACCGAUUCCUCUUCACUUAUAUAAAUGGAUUGUGAUGAACAGAUGAAAUGUUACACAUUUUCCAAUGGAGGUUUCCAAGAUUGACAUACAUUACCUGAAAUUCCCAAUGUUACACGAACAUCACCUUUUACAUGAUUUGGAUUAAGAACACACCAAUCUGCUUCAGUUUUCUGAAAAGCAUAACACUUCUUAUCCUCCACAUUCAUGUGAGAAGAGUUAUCAAAUGAGGUCUGAUUUAAUUAAAAGUAGGUAUAAUCUCCACAAACAUAUGAGAGCCAGUCAGAAAAAAAGGUAAGUCUUUGGGGGAAUAUUUUGUAUAUAAGUUAAUGGCAACAUUAGCAGAGAUAAUUUUUGCUUUGUGGCAUCUGCACGUUUGGAUUCACAAGGGAAUUUCUGCCUACUUGGGAUUUUACAUAUCUAUCAGCUAUUGUGAAUCUGAGAAGCCCAUGGAAACAUUAUAUGACUGUGACACGCACCCUUGAGGGUUUUGAACUGAUAAAGUAAUUCAUGCAUUAUAAUCAGGGAUAAACAUUUCCUUCAAAAUGGAACCCCAGGAAUCUUCCCCUACCUCAGGAGCUGAACCAGAUUUGAAAGAUACAUGAGGUUAUGAAACAUUUCCUUGUGAACUUUUUUACCUCCAGAAGGUGACAGGAGCUUUAAUUUUCCCCCUGUCCCUAGCCCACGUGUUCCUAACAGUCAAAACACUCCACAGGCCAAGCUGCUGGGAGCAGAGGUGGUAGCUGUGGCUAGCACAAGCAGAAGACAAGUUCCAGUCUUCUGGAUCCCACUUGAGCAGCCCAGCAAAAUGAGUCAGCUGCACAGUGCUGACCCUCCCCUCAUGCUGAUUUGGAACUGGAAGUUUCUCCAGCACUCCUGUGUUGCAUAGGAUAAGGUCCCCUCUUCAUAGUCUCCUCCAACCAAGCUGCAGGAACAGAUAACAAGAGUGCUGCUACUGAUCUCUGGCAACUGUGCAGGGAAAAGAAUGUAUUCAGCAGAGAUGUUCUUCCUGCCUACAGGAAAAACAUUUAUACAAAAAAACAUCCCUACUACAACAAAAAGUAAACAGAGUGAUAACAUUAAGAGAGGUUAAUGAGAACAGCCCUCCAUGGUGCUUCCCAGUUUUUUAUGCUAUGCAAAAUACCACCAGUUAAACAGGACGUGAGCAAGCAAUCUUAGCUCCACAUCCUAACAUAUGUGGUGGAGCACGGCAGGCCUGUAACCUUUCCAUGGCUUAUUGCAUCUCCCACUUUGCACUACCACUUUAUUUCUUUAUAAGAAACAAGAGUGUUUGGGUACAUAAUUUGUUAGGUGAAAGAGGGGCUGAGAAGUCAAUGUUUGAUGCCAGGCAUGUGAUGAGCAGGUGUUUGCUUUCACUUCAGGGAGCCAGCCUGAAUGGCAAAACCUCUUACAAUGCACUGACUGCGGGUGCCUCCUGGGCAAAGGCAGCAGAGCUACACAGGAACUGCACCCUGGGUGUCACAGGUCACUCUGUUAUACUCAGCAAGGAGGGCUUGGCCAGGAGGAUGGAAGCUGGAGGGGAAGGAGUGAACGGUUUCCAAAACUGAGUGUGUGUGAACUCUUUCUGCCCUGCUGCUGUUCUUGUUUCUGUUGGCAGAGAGGAGAGGUGGAAGGAGGCACAACAAAGCCUGCUGCUUCCCCCUGCAUCUCCAGCACUGCUCUUAUAUGAAACUUCCCACUCUUCACGCUAUAGAAAAGAGUCUGAAAAGGGGCAGGAAAAUCAACCACAGUCACCUCAAGAGCACACCAGUCUUCCUGCUGUAUGGAGGAGCCUCUUUUGCCUGGGAUCAUGCAGGCAUGGCAAUACGUGCUGAGGUGUGAAUUUAGUGCUAUAUUGUCUGCAAGCUACUACAAGACACAUACUUGUAUGGAUGUACCCUGGGACUUCCAAAGGCCAUGCUGUUCCAGAUGUGCCCCUUGACCAGCCUGUAGCUCCCUGUUUGGACAAGGCUCAGAAGCUCAUGGCUUUUCCCUUCCCUGUUUCCAUGGGAAGAAAACCAGGUUGUGAAACUUGAAGAUGUGACUAAAGGGAAAGAGAGCUGAGGCUGGAAAUGUCUGAUGUGGAAGACCAAGUGCAAUGUAAGACCCUCUAUCUCCUGAGAGCAUCUGUCCUUCUCCCAUGAAGAAAAGGUACAUGAGGCAUUCAUAGAGAAAAGAGAAUGACAACAUGCAAGGAGGAGGCUGGCACUCUGACUGCUCAUAAAGAUGGCCAUGCAGUAAAAGUACCUGAUCAGAAUCAAAUGCAGCAUUGGUUUAUGAUGGCAUUCCUCCAGGCAGCAUCGGGCUACUUGCAAUCACUGAACUUCUUCUAUGGUGUGAAUGGGAUGUGUAGAUACUGCUCUGUCAGACAAUCUCCACACGCUGCAACUCUGAAAUUGAAAAAUAAAUAAAUCUGAAAUUCAGCACCAGUGCCAUGUGAACACGUAAGUACGUUUUCAUAAAAACAGAGGAUCCCUGGAUGUGACCAUGGCAUCAGGCUGCUCUUUGUGCCACCCAAAUUUUGGGUGUCUCCUACCUGUGUGCUGGUGUGUGACUGUUUGCAUUUCUCUGUUUUAAAUCCGAGUGCUUUCACACUGCUGAU